rfam:Picea glauca, whole genome shotgun sequence.
GUACAUGCCUACAUCAUCACUUUAAUGCAUCAGAUCCCAUUAGAACUUCACAGUUAAGUGUGCUCGAGCUAUAGUAGUACUAGGAUGGGUGACCUCCCAGGAAGUCCUAGUGUUUUAUAUG